rnacentral:rRNA from 1 species
UACGGGGGGGGCAAGCGUUGUUCGGAAUUACUGGGCGUAAAGGGCUCGUAGGCGGCCAACUAAGUCAGACGUGAAAUCCCUCGGCUUAACCGGGGAACUGCGUCUGAUACUGGAUGGCUUGAGUCCGGGAGAGGGAUGCGGAAUUCCAGGUGUAGCGGUGAAAUGCGUAGAUAUCUGGAGGAACACCGGUGGCGAAGGCGGCAUCCUGGACCGGCACUGACGCUGAUGAGCGAAAGCUAGGGUAGCAAACGGG